rnacentral:rRNA from 1 species
UAGGCUGGUUUUCCAGGCAAAUCCGGAAAAUCAAGGCUGAGGCGUGAUGACGAGGCACUACGGUGCUGAAGCAACAAAUGCCCUGCUUCCAGGAAAAGCCUCUAAGCAUCAGGUAACAUCAAAUCGUACCCCAAACCGACACAGGUGGUCAGGUAGAGAAUACCAAGGCGCUUGAGAGAACUCGGGUGAAGGAACUAGGCAAAAUGGUGCCGUAACUUCGGGAGAAGGCACGCUGACACGUAGGUGAAGUGAUUUACUCAUGGAGCUGAAGUCAGUCGAAGAUACCAGCUGGCUGCAACUGUUUAUUAAAAACACAGCACUGUGCAAACACGAAAGUGGACGUAUACGGUGUGACGCCUGCCCGGUGCCGGAAGGUUAAUUGAUGGGGUCAGCGCAAGCGAAGCUCCUGAUCGAAGCCCCGGUAAACGGCGGCCGUAACUAUAACGGUCCUAAGGUAGCGAAAUUCCUUGUCGGGUAAGUUCCGACCUGCACGAAUGGCGUAAUGAUGGCCAGGCUGUCUCCACCCGAGACUCAGUGAAAUUGAACUCGCUGUGAAGAUGCAGUGUACCCGCGGCAAGACGGAAAGACCCCGUGAACCUUUACUAUAGCUUGACACUGAACAUUGAGCCUUGAUGUGUAGGAUAGGUGGGAGGCUUUGAAGUGUGGACGCCAGUCUGCAUGGAGCCGACCUUGAAAUACCACCCUUUAAUGUUUGAUGUUCUAACGUGGACCCGUGAUCCGGGUUGCGGACAGUGUCUGGUGGGUAGUUUGACUGGGGCGGUCUCCUCCUAAAGAGUAACGGAGGAGCACGAAGGUUGGCUAAUCCUGGUCGGACAUCAGGAGGUUAGUGCAAUGGCAUAAGCCAGCUUGACUGCGAGCGUGACGGCGCGAGCAGGUGCGAAAGCAGGUCAUAGUGAUCCGGUGGUUCUGAAUGGAAGGGCCAUCGCUCAACGGAUAAAAGGUACUCCGGGGAUAACAGGCUGAUACCGCCCAAGAGUUCAUAUCGACGGCGGUGUUUGGCACCUCGAUGUCGGCUCAUCACAUCCUGGGGCUGAAGUAGGUCCCAAGGGUAUGGCUGUUCGCCAUUUAAAGUGGUACGCGAGCUGGGUUUAGAACGUCGUGAGACAGUUCGGUCCCUAUCUGCCGUGGGCGCUGGAGAACUGAGGGGGGCUGCUCCUAGUACGAGAGGACCGGAGUGGACGCAUCACUGGUGUUCGGGUUGUCAUGCCAAUGGCACUGCCCGGUAGCUAAAUGCGGAAGAGAUAAGUGCUGAAAGCAUCUAAGCACGAAACUUGCCCCGAGAUGAGUUCUCCCUGAGACUUAGAGUCUCCUGAAGGAACGUUGAAGACGACGACGUUGAUAGGCCGGGUGUGUAAGCGCAGCGAUGCGUUGAGCUAACCGGUACUAAUGAACCGUGAGGCUUAACCUUACAACGCCGAAG